rnacentral:rRNA from 1 species
AGUGAACGCUGGCGGUAGGCCUAACACAUGCAAGUCGAACGGCCGCACAGUAAGAGCUUGCUCCUACGGGUGGCGAGGGGCGGACGGGUGAGGAAUACAUCGGAAUCUACUUUUUCGUGGGGGAUAACGUAGGGAAACAUACGCUAAUACCGCAUACGACCUACGGGAGGAAGCAGGGGAGCUUCGGACCUUGCGCGACUGAAUGAGACGAUGUCGGAUUAGCUAGUUGGCGGGGUAAAGGCCCACCAAGGCGACGAUCCGUAGCUGGCCUGAGAGGAUGAUCAGCCACACUGGAACUGAGACACGGUCCAGACUCCUACGGGAGGCAGCAGUGGGGAAUAUUGGACAAUGGGCGCAAGCCUGAUCCAGCCAUACCGCGUGGGUGAAGAAGGCCUUCGGGUUGUAAAGCCCUUUUGUUGGGAAAGAAAAUCAGCAGGUGAAUCCCCCCCUGUUCUGACGGUACCCAAAGAGUAAGCACCGGCUAACUUCGUG